CCGACCUGAGAGGGUGACCGGCCACAUUGGGACUGAGAUACGGCCCAGACUCCUACGGGAGGCAGCAGCUGAGAAUCUUCCACAAUGGACGAAAGUCUGAUGGAGCGACAUCGCGUGAGGGAUGAAGGCCUUCGGGUUGUAAACCUCGGAAAUUAUCGAAGAAUGAGUGACAGUAGAUAAUGUAAGCCUCGGCUAACUACGUGCCAGAGCCGCGGCCGA
rnacentral:rRNA from 1 species